rnacentral:lncRNA from 1 species
CGUAUGUUAAUGUCUUGUAAGCUUAUAUCUAGGUUGGUGGUAAAGUAGGCUUCCAUUCUUUAAGGCUUAUGUUCCCAAACAGAGACAGGUAGUAAGUAACAAACGCAUCCAAAAAAAGCAACCAGACAAAUGUGGUCCGUCUGAUUUUUGGCUUAUUCUAUUAAUGAUGAAAUUAUUUGAGUUAAGUGGUUGUUGGGUGAAUAAGCUUUAUAGUCUUGUUUGACGUUUUGCCUUGCCAAGAUUGUGAUUGUUUUGGACAACAAUAUAUGAAUGAUGUUCUGGUUUGUAUGUAUGUAUUAUUAUUAUCCAACAUGUCAUGCAUUCUAUGAGAUUUGGUAUUAUUUGUAGCUCAUAGCAUGAAGAAAAUUUUCUCAAACUUUUGUUCCUUUGCCUAUCUCCAGCAAAUUUUAGUACUGCCAACUUUGAAGACUUUUUUUGUCGGUUUUAUCAUUUUCCUUCUUAUCUACUAAUGUACUAAAAAAACUAGCAUGCAUCCCAAUACAUGGAAACAUGGACUAUGUACAUUUAAUCGCAUCUAAAUGCUUACCAUUUGUUAAAUUUUAGCUCCUCUUGACAAUACUUCCUGAUUCCGUUACUGAAGUUGCAUAAGCAAAUUGAGGAAAAAAGAAUUGUAUAAUCAAAUUAAUAUUUGACAGCCACCACAAUUAAGUCAUUUUCGUUGUCUACGGUAUGGGCAUUAUCGUGCAGAACUAGUGCGUUGUAAUAAAGAUGUUAUUAUAUAUCUACCUUUUGUAUGAAUCAGCAGAAGUAGUGGAUCACCAUAUUCAAUUCCUAAUUUCUCAACAUAAGAAUGUGGCAGACAGAAGUUUUC